UUAAGUCCCGCAACGAGCGCAACCCUUGUCUCUAGUUGCUACGAAAGGGCACUCUAGAGAGACUGCCGGUGACAAACCGGAGGAAGGUGGGGAUGACGUCAAGUCCUCAUGGCCCUUAUGGGUAGGGCUUCACACGUCAUACAAUGGUGCGUACAGAGGGUUGCCAACCCGCGAGGGGGAGCUAAUCCCAGAAAACGCAUCGUAGUCCGGAUCGCAGUCUGCAACUCGACUGCGUGAAGCUGGAAUCGCUAGUAGUCGCGGAUCAGCAUGCCGCGGUGAAUACGUUCCCGGGUCUUGUACACACCGCCCGUCACACCAUGGGAGUGGGUUUUGCCAGAAGUAGUUAGCCUAACCGCAAGGAGGGCGAUUACCACGGCAGGGUUCAUGACUGGGGUGAAGUCGUAACAAGGUAGCCGUAUCGGAAGGUGCGGCUGGAUCACCUCCUUU
rnacentral:rRNA from 1 species